rnacentral:rRNA from 1 species
UACGUAGGGUGCGAGCGUUGUCCGGAAUUAUUGGGCGUAAAGGGCUCGUAGGCGGUUUGUCGCGUCGGGAGUGAAAACCCAGGGCUUAACCCUGGGCUGGCUUCCGAUACGGGCAGACUAGAGGUAUGCAGGGGAGAACGGAAUUCCUGGUGUAGCGGUGAAAUGCGCAGAUAUCAGGAGGAACACCGGUGGCGAAGGCGGUUCUCUGGGCAUUACCCGACGCUGAGGAGCGAAAGUGUGGGGAGCGAACAGG